AAAAAGACCUCCAGCUCGCAAUUAAAUAACCUGUAGGCACUGUCCUCUUAGAAAGUUCAUGCCUAUAAAUUAAACAAGCUCCUCUUGGUUCUUCACCAUUGCAGCUGAUUUGCUUUCUUUAUCAGCUUCUCUCCCCCUCCCUCUGUGUGUGCGUGCGUGCGUGUGUUUUUCUUCAAUUGUUGUGAGCUAUCUAUCAUAUAAGAGGAGGACGAUGAUGAUACCAUAUAUGUUCGCUCGCCGGACGUAAUGGCAUGAUUUUGCCUUGCCGAGCCUGCUUCACUGCUGUUCUGAGUCCUCUCUUUAUCUCAUAAAACUAAGCAGCAUUACGCACGCUUCAUGCCUAUAAAUUAAACAUGCUCCUGGCCCUUCACCAUUGCAGCUGAUUUGCUCUCUCUCUCUCUCUCUCUCUCUCUCUCUCUCUCUCUCUCUCUCUCUCUCUCUCUCUCUCUCUCUCUUGUGUGUGUGUUUUUCGUCAAUUGUUGUGAGCUAUCAUAUAAGAGGAGGACGAUGAUGACACUAUGCAUGUUCGCUCGCCGGACGUAAUGGCAAGAUUUUGCCUUGCCGAUCCUACUUUACUGCUGUUCUGAGUCCUCUCUUUAUCUCAUAAAACUAGGCAGCAUUUCGCACGCCUUAUUUUCUUCUUGCCAUAAGGCAUUGAGUUCACGUCAUCCUUAAUUAAUUACAUUAAUGUUAUUUUUCGUUUUCCUUUCCAGUUGAGGUCCAACAUGGUGGAAGUGGUCUUGCCAUUGGCAGCUUCUAUGAAUCCGCAAUUAAAUUUUAACGGUCAAUUCGGAAGCAAACCACACUUUUUUUUUUAAUUUAUGAUUUUAUGCUGGGGAGGAAAAUGAAGCUGACGAAUUAAUUUUUAAGCUAGCAAGUGCAGAACAACUGGCCUUUUCUCCUUCGCUUUGAACUGCCUAUCACAGACUUUUCAUGGCAUAAAGGAAGAAGCACCCUCUAACUGAUAUUUUUUUGGCAGCAUAAACUCAUUCAAUUCGACAAUUGAUAACAGGUUUAAGACCGCGCGGCCUAGAAGGAGCAAGAGGCUUCAGUCGGGCGGCGGAGCAAAACCGAAACAGAGAUGCAAUUAGCAAGAGAAAGAAAACGAGUAUCGAACCGCUGUAAAACGAGUAUCGAACCGCAUUUACAGCAGACGGAUGAAAUGGAUAAAACAUAAGACUUCAGACUCUUUACAGAUUCACAAGUGCACAGUUCUAGCUAUCUCAAAGACACGAUUAUAAUAAAAACCUAGCAUAGCACCAGUUCAGCACGCUCACACAGAGCCACCGUGAGAUGUAGCGCCUUGAUUGCCCAAGAAAUGAACGACAACACAGGUGAUGUUAUCUGCACUUCCUCUCUGGUACGCCUCCUGCAACAACCUCUUUGCUGCCUGCUCUGGGUCCGUGAUCGGCUUGAUCAUUUCAACAGCUUCCUGAGGAGAACGGAUGAAGCAUCAGAUGGUGAUGGCAGCAGCAAAACACCAUCCUUUGUUUUUAUUUUCACAAGCAAAAAACCUUAUUAAAUUGCAUUAAAGGCCAGUUUCCACCAGAUCAUUCGCAGUGAGAGUGUUAUCAAGGAAACAAAAAGAGAUUGUUCCAAACCUCGUUUGUGACAACGUCCCAUAAUCCAUCACUUGCAAGGAUGAGAAACUCAAGGGACCUGUCAACCUUUUCCUCCUACAGUUUCCAUGACAAUGUCAGUGGCUAAAACAUGCUCAAAAGUGAGAUGGAGAGGAGAAAAGCAAUACAAGGCUCGAGAACCCUAAAAUGCAACGACACUUCAGCAAUAUUCAAGCAUUUGCGGAUAAAUUACUAUCUCCAAAACACACCACUGUAAACAUCUAGGUGCUGGCGUAUAUGCGCUCACGAGUAAUGAGAUUCAAAAAUUUGGAAGGUUUAUCCUUUUAAGAUAUAUCUUAAUUUGAAUACUGUCAA